rnacentral:tRNA from 1 species
GCCUUCGUGGUGUAGUGGUCAGCCCGCUCGACGUGUAACCGAGAGGUCAGUGGUUCGAUUCCCGGCGAAGGCG